CAUUUAUUAAUAUCUGAAUAUAAUUUAAACAGUUAAGGUUGGUAGCAGUACAUUUAACAUCAAUUUAUUAAGUUAGAUUUGCUAUCCAAUUUUUAGCCAGGCACAUUAGACAUUGUUAUUCUGGGGGAAAAACCCAAAACAGCAUUGGAUUGAGUGCAGGGAUACACAGUUUUGAAGUGAUGGUCUUACUGUUUGGGGCAAGUUGAGUUUUUGUUCUGUGCAUCUCUCUUAGCAGUGAUUAAGCACCAAAGCUUAUUUUUUCUCCUGCUUACACCAAGUUCAGUCCCCAAGGAGAAGGCACAAUAGUGAGCUGGUGUGUUCAGUAUGUGUGUGGAAUGUUUUGAAAAGGGAAGAGAAGCCAAUUCUGGUGAUCAUUUAUGAUGUAAUGUGAGGACGAUCUGGAUGGCAGCAGACUGAAAUACUGAUAAGUCUGUAUCUGAGGGAAUUUAGAGAGCUAGUUGACAGAUGGGAUAAAAGGUUUUAAAGACAGCAAAGAAAAUAUUUCAAGGGAUGUGGCUACCUACAAGGGGAAUCUUGUAGGUAGUAAAUUAAUCAUUUUUUUAAAGCAGAGAAUAAUAAUUUAAGUGUAGAGGCUUACAUUCUCUUGAUAGUUCUUGUACAGCUAGAAUCACAUUGUUAUGUUAUUUUAUUUUCUCUGUCGGAUCUCCUCAAGAAGUAGGGAAAUCAUCCAAAUCCAGAAGAGCCAGAAGAAGAUGAAGAUGUUCGAGCUGAAAGAGUGAACACAGCAAGUGCACUCACUACCCUGAACCUGAAUGAGCUGAAAACAAGUAACUUGAACCCUAAACCAAUCAUAAUGGCAAGCUGCUUACAUAAGGAAUAUAAAGGGAAAAAAAGAAAGUUGCUUUACAACAAGAAAGAAGAAAAUAGCCACUAGAAAUGUUUCCUUCCAUGUUAACAAAGGUGAAGUUUUGGACACAAAGUUUUGCUGGGACACAAUGGAGCUGGUAAAAGUAAUUCUAUUAAAGUGGUAACAGGAGACACAAAGCCAACUGAAGGAGUGGUAUGUGAAAGAACCAAGCUUGUUGCCAGGGGAAAUUUCAUUUUAAAUAUCAAUAGCAUCCUUAUAUUUUUCUAUCAGUA